GGCCAGAGCGGCCUCUAUUGUUGCUGUGUCAUAGGGGAGCGGCGGCGGCCCCUGGCGGCAGCGCCGGGAACAGCGGGUCGGCCUCUGCCGACACGCAGAAGGGCCCCCGCGGGGCGGCGCUGCGGGUUGAGGCCGGGACCCGGUGGUGGGCGCCGGACGGUACGUGCCCGCGGGGCCGAGCUGGCUGACGUGCACCCAGGGACGAGUGUCCGUAGCGGUUACCCACUCGGUUCUGAAUGGAACCAACUCUCCACACCCGCAGGAAGACAGCCCGUCUGACUCGCAUUAUUCGGGCUUGAGGCCUCCUUUCUGACACUAAUAUCCGAUGGCCUGCAUGUACCUCUGUUUGCUUGCUGAAGGAGUUCAUGGUUUCUUCCAAGUACCUGUCAUUAUGAUUACAGCUGCUGUAAACAUCUGUGUGCAAGCGCGUAUGGACACAGUGCUAUUUAGGAGGAUGUCUCAAGUGACAGGACUACUAUGCAAGCACCAAGGCCCCGUGCAAGUUUGUGCUCACACGUAACUGUGCGCAGGAGACCAUCUUUCAAUAUGUAUCUUCCACGGGAAAGCUCAUGAUGGACACUUUCAAGAGCUGUCCCAGGAUAAACUCUGGCUUCUGAUGAAGGGCAAAGAGUGAAUACUGAGGGAGGAGUACCGCCUGCCCAGCAUGGAUCAGGAUGGAGAGUGGCCCUCCAGACAUUCAGGCCUUUCUCCCCAUCCCCAGGCAUGACUUUCACGAGAUGGAUGUCUUCUGUACUCAUUUGUUACUUCAAUGUAGCCUAGGAUCAUAACAAUAGGCAUUCCCAGCAGAAAGCUUUGUUGGUAUUCAAUCUUGCCUUGUAAGCCAGAAGCAAGCUAUCAUACUGAAAACCUAUGCACAGUGCUCAUUUGUAGUGUGACUGCCUAGUCUUGGGUCAGAAUGAGACGGACCAGGGCAAUGGCUCUGCUCAUAUGAACUUUGCAUGAAGUCAGUCCUGAAAUGCACUCUACCUCUGAGCUGCACCCAGCUUUUGAAAUGCAACUUUAACCCACUGAAUUAAAUAAAUAAUAAAGUAUUGGGAUUUGUAUUUUGUUCAUUUUUUUCAAUCAUUUUCUUUUCUGUCGUUGUUGUUUUGAGAUA